rnacentral:rRNA from 1 species
UCCCCCACGACUGCUAAACGCGAAGAACCUUACCUGGCCUUGACAUCCAUGGAAUCCCGAAGAGAUUUGGGAGUGCCGCAAGGAACCAUGAGACAGGUGCUGCAUGGCUGUCGUCAGCUCGUGUCGUGAGAUGUUGGGUUAAGUCCCGCAACGAGCGCAACCCUUGUCCUUAGUUGCCAUCAUUAAGUUGGGAACUCUAAGGAGACCGCCGGUGACAAACCGGAGGAAGGUGGGGAUGACGUCAAGUCAUCAUGGCCUUUAUGGCCAGGGCUACACACGUGCUACAAUGGCAGGUACAGAGGGAAGCCAACCAGCAAUGGGGAGCCAAUCCCAGAAAGCCUGUCUUAGUCCGGAUUGCAGUCUGCAACUCGACUGCAUGAAGUUGGAAUCGCUAGUAAUCGCAGAUCAGCAUUGCUGCGGUGAAUACGUUCCCGGGUCUUGUACACACCG